rnacentral:rRNA from 1 species
UAGCGAAGGGGGCUAGCGUUGCUCGGAAUACUGGGCGUAAAGCGCACGUAGGCGGAUUGGUUAAGUCGGGGGUGAAAUCCUGGAGCUCAACUCCAGAACUGCCUUUGAUACUGAGGAGCUUGAGUCCGGGAGGGGAGAGCGGAAUUCCUAGUGUAGCGGUGAAAUGCGCAGAUAUUAGGAAGAACACCGGUGGCGAAGGCGGCUCACUGGCCCGGUACUGACGCUGAGGCACGAAAGCGUGGGGAGCAAACAGG